UGAACGUGGCUACUGUGCCAGCUGGUGGAUCGCUCGGCUUGAGAGCUGACGAAGGACGUGCCAAGCUGCGAUAAGCCUAUGGGAGCCGCACGGAGGCGAAGAACAUAGGAUCUCCGAAUGGGAAUCCCCACCGCAAUUGCUUCGCGCAAUGGGGAACGUCGAGAAUUGAAACAUCUUAGUAUCGACAGGAAAAGAAAGCAAACGCGAUGUCGUUAGUAAUGGCGAAUAAACGCGACACAGUCCAAACCGAAGCCUUCACGGGCAAUGUGGUGUUCGGACUGACGAUCACUUCCCGAACGGCGACGCGAAGUCUCUUGGAAUAGAGCACGAAACAGGGUGACAGUCCCGUACCGUCGACGAGUAAGGAACGAGUCAGUUCCAGAGUAGCGGGGGUUGGAUAUCCCUCGUGAAUAUCGCGGGCAUCGACCGCGAAGACUAAACACUCCUCAAGACCGAUAGCGAACAAGUAGCGUGAGCGAACGCUGAAAAGCACCCCACGAAGGGAGGUGCAAUAGGGCGUGAAAUCAGUUGGCGAUGGAGCGACAGGGCAUACAAGGUCCCGGACAAAACGAAUCAGGUGCGAACCUGUAGUAGAACGUUCGGGAAGCCGGUGUUCUGUCGUACGUUUUGAAAAACGAACCAGGGAGUGUGCCUGUUUGACGAGUCUAACUCGAUUAUCGAGGAAGGCGUAGGGAAACCGAUAUGGCCGCAGUGCUUUGCACCAGGGCCACCGUGUUCAAGCGCGGGGAGUCAAACGGGCACGACCCGAAACCGGACGAUCUAGGCGUGGGCAAGAUGAAGCGUGCCGAAAGGCACGUGGAAGUCUGUUAGAGUUGGUGUCCUACAAUACCCUCUCGUGACCUACGUCUAGGGGUGAAAGGCCCAUCGAGUCCGGAAACAGCUGGUUCCAACCGAAACAUGUCGAAGCAUGACCUCUGCCGAGGUAGUUUGUGGGGUAGAGCAACGGAUUGGGGGACCGCACUCCGAGAGGAGUGCGCCCCCCUGUCCAACUCCGAACCUACAAACGCCGUUUGACGCAGGGAGUCCGGUGCACGGGGUAAGCCUGUGUACCGUGAGGGAGACAACCCAGAGCUGGGUUAAGGUCCCCAAGUGUAGAUUAAGUGCGAUCGAAGGUGGUCUCAAGCCCUAGACAGC
rnacentral:rRNA from 1 species